rnacentral:sRNA from 1 species
AUGAAGAGAUUAGGAGACGGCCGUAGCUCUUCGCAACCUAAGCCACCAUCUGGUUCUUCACGUGUAGACUCGUAAGUUUCUUUCUCUGUACCUUUUCUCUUUUGUUGUUUUUACUUUUUUUUUUUUAGGUAGAACUUUUUAUUCCUUAAGUUCUGUUUGGUUUCCUAGAAAAUAUUUAGUGUAAGGUUAGUUUUUUAUGUAUGAUAGAAUUAGCUGAAUUUUUUAAAUCAUGCUCUUGGCUGGAUUUGUAAUGGGUUCUGCUUUUUGCAAUUGGAAUUUAAUUUUAGGCUAGCUUUCAUGUGAAAUUUUUUAAGUGACUUGCGACAUAUGAAAGCUUGGACUUUCUUUCUUUUGCGGGAGGGAGAGAUUUGAAUCUUGGUUCUCCAAGUAAAGGAGAGCAGGGAAUGCCACAGAUGAGAAAUUUGAACCCUGGGAAUCAGUUUGCUGUUAAAAUUGACUGGGUAUCAGCAAGUAAUAAACUUUUGUAUUCUCAUAGAGAUCACAUUAGUAAAUAUGAAUAUGUUGUGCUUAUGGAAUAACUGUACUAUAGAUGUAAUGGAGGCAGAGGAGGUAGUGAUCUUGGUUGUACCUUGCGGGAACAGAGAAAAAAUUAUGCCUUAACCUAUCUCAAGGAAGUGAAGGAAACGCUUCAAGACCAAAGAGAGAAAUAUGACAAGUUCCUUAAGGUCAUGAAAGAUUUUAUGGAUCAAAGGUACAGUAAUUGCAUUAUGAAGUUUUUGUCUUGGAUUAAUGGACAUUGCAUCUAAAACCUAAAUGAUUAUGCCAUUAUUUGUUCUUGCAGAACUGAUGCUUAUGACGUCAUUGCCAUAGUGAAGGGAUUAUUUAAAGGGCAUAAUAACUUGAUUUCUGGGUUUAACUUCUUCUUGCCAAAGGGGUCUGAAAUAGCCCUUGACAAUGAUGAGGCUCAUCCACAGGAAUUAUUUAAUGAAGCUUGGAGCUUUGUGACCAAGAUAAAGGUGAAAUUAUUGUCCUGCUCUGUUGAAUUUCAACUGCAAAUGUUGGUUCCUAGCGUUUUAAUAAUGACCUUUGUUCCUACAGGUAUGCUUUCAAAAUGAUGCAAGUGUUUAUAGAGAAUUCUUAGACAUUUUAAUUGAGUUCCGGAAGGGGCGCAUGGACAUAAGUACAGUCCAAAAUCAGGUAAAUAUAUUAUAUGGUUCUGUUUGUUUCACUGCUCGUGUUUUGGAAGGUUUUCUUGUUAAUAUAAUUUUCAGUAUUCUUAGAGGUUUUUAUUUUACAAUUUUCAGAUUUCCAUUCUUUUUGAUGGUCAUGCGGAUUUAAUUGAUGAGUUCACUAUAUUUCUUCCUCCGAACGCUGAACCUGUUUCAGCAAAGAAAUGGUAAGCCAAUAAAUCUAUUUCUUUCAGCAUUCAAUCAUUACUUCCCAUGUUAAUGGUGUUGACCAGCCAGAGCUGGACGAUGGCAAAGCAAUGAAAAAUUACCUGCUAUAUAAUUUCAAUAUACUUUUUUUAUGUUUGAACUUUGGUAAUGUAUUGAAUACAGGUUUGGGGUAAUUGAUGUGUUUUCACAAAUUCUUAUAGAUCUCUCUUUUUUUCUUUUUUCUUUUUGGGUUAGUGAUUUGAGAUUUUCGAAAAUGAAGAGAUUAAGAGACGAUGGUAGCUCUUAGUCUUUGCCGUCUGGUUCUUUGAGUGAAGAUUCAUAAGUUUCUUUCUCUGUAGGCUUUUCUCUUCCGUUGUUUAUACGUUUUUUUUUAAGGUACAGUUUUUUUAUUCCUUAAGUUAUUUUUGGUUUGCUAGAAAAUGUUGUGUAAGGUCAGUUUUUUGCUUGAUAUUUUUUGUGUGAUGGAAUUUGCUGAAUUUUUUGAAUCAUGCUCUGGGCUGUUUUUGAAAUAGGUUCUGCUUUUUGUAAUUGAAAUUUAAGUUUUGGCAAGUUUUCAUGUGAGGAUUUUUUAAGUGAUUUGUGACAUAUGAAAGCUUGUAAUUUUUUCAUUUUGUGGGAUUUUUUUUUUUUUUGGUUGAUAAUUUGAAGAUUACAACAAUGGAGGGAGGGAGGGAUUUGAAUCCUAGUUUUCCAAGCAAAGAAGAGUAGGCAAUGCCACUGAGGAGAAAUUUGAAUGCUGGGAAUUAGUUUGCUGUUAAAAUUGACUGGGUAUCAGCAAGUUAUAAACAUUUGUACUGUCAUAGAGAUCACAUUGAUAGUACGAAUAUGUUGUUUUUAUGGAAUAACUCUACUAUAGAUGUUCAUAGUUUGGGAGGAAUUGUUAUUAUGCUAAUUAUAUAUAUAUAUAUGUAUAUAUAUUUGUGUAUUUGAAGCUAUGGGCAAUCCCAAAUCCCAGUAGGUGGUGGUGGUGGUGGUGGUACUCCGAGGAAAAUAACACUGAAUGAUGCCUUGACCUAUCUCAUGGAAGUGAAGGAAACGUUUCAAAGCCAAAGAGAGAAAUAUGGCAGGUUCCUUAAGGUCAUCAAAGAUUUUAAGGCUAAAAGGUACACUCAUUGCAUUUAUGCAGUUUUUGUCUUGGAAUAAUGGAACAUUGCAUCUAAAACCUUAUGGAUUGUGCCAUUGUUUCUACUUGCAGAAUUGGCAAUGUUGACGUCACGAUCAGAGUAAAGGAAUUAUUUGAAGGGCAUAAUAACUUGAUUUCUAGAUUUAACAUCUUUUUGCCAAAGAAGUAUGAAAUAGCCCUUGAGGAUGAUGAGGCUGGUCCACAAACUAAGAAGGUUUAA